rnacentral:rRNA from 1 species
GAUGAACGCUGGCGGCGUGCCUAAUACAUGCAAGUCGAGCGAACGGACGAGAAGCUUGCUUCUCUGAUGUUAGCGGCGGACGGGUGAGUAACACGUGGAUAACCUACCUAUAAGACUGGGAUAACUUCGGGAAACCGGAGCUAAUACCGGAUAAUAUUUUGAACCGCAUGGUUCAAAAGUGAAAGACGGUCUUGCUGUCACUUAUAGAUGGAUCCGCGCUGCAUUAGCUAGUUGGUAAGGUAACGGCUUACCAAGGCAACGAUGCAUAGCCGACCUGAGAGGGUGAUCGGCCACACUGGAACUGAGACACGGUCCAGACUCCUACGGGAGGCAGCAGUAGGGAAUCUUCCGCAAUGGGCGAAAGCCUGACGGAGCAACGCCGUGUGAGUGAUGAAGGUCUUCGGAUCGUAAAACUCUGUUAUUAGGGAAGAACAUAUGUGUAAGUAACUGCGCACAUCUUGACGGUACCUAAUCAGAAAGCCACGGCUAACUACGUG